rnacentral:rRNA from 1 species
GAUGAACGCUGGCGGCGUGCUAAACACAUGCAAGUCGAACGGGAAUUACUUUAUUGAAACUUCGGUCGAUUUAAUUUAAUUCUAGUGGCGGACGGGUGAGUAACGCGUGGGUAACCUGCCUUGUACAGGGGGAUAACAGUCAGAAAUGACUGCUAAUACCGCAUAAGCGCACAGAGCUGCAUGGCUCAGUGUGCAAAACUCCGGUGGUAUAAGAUGGAUCCGCGUUGGAUUAGCAAGUUGGUGAGGUAACGGCCCACCAAGGCGACGAUCCAUAGCCGGCCUGGGAGGGUGAACGGCCACAUUGGGACUGGGACACGUCCCAGACUCCUACGGGAGGCAGCAGUGGGGAAUAUUGCACAAUGGGGGAAACCAUGAUGCAGCGGCGCCGCGUGAAGGAAUAGGUAUCUCGGGAUGUAAACUUCGAUCAGCAGGGAAGAGAUUGACGGUACCUGACUAAGAAGCCCCGGCUAACUACGUGCCAGCAGCCGCGGUAAUAC